AAUGUGUCUCAUCUUAAAUACAUUGUUGUUGUUUUUGUUUCAUUGAAUUUGGAUGUUUUGAUGAUUUAAGGAAAAUUUACGUAGCAUAUAUAUUGAUGUUUUAAAUCAGAGUUUGUUAAUGACACUUAAUCAUUAACAAACAUUUAAAAAGCUUUAUUACAAUACUAAUUGAUAAUAUUCAUGUAAUAAUCUUGUUUUGUAACACCCUAAAUCACUGAGCGCACAAACGCUACCCCUGUUACAAGCAUGAGUGAUUGACUUCAGGCACACAUGCGCAAACAUUGAAGUACCGCGAGAGUGAUUCAAAAGCCCACGAAACAGUGUAAUCACGCGGUACUGUGAUGUCAUACUGGUUAAGGCUAAGCCACGUGAAGCCUGACACAAGGGCUACACUAAUCUUUGGGCUGGAGUAGCCUGUGGCUUCGUGUCUCAUCGCGUUAAACGAUCGCAGAACGAUUUAUUUCUCUUUUUCACCUCGAUCUUUGGCCUCGUGUGAUUUACCAAAACCAACAUGUGAAGUUACAACGCUGACGAAGGAGUUUCAUCAGUAGAGUGUGUCCUGGAAAACGUGUGCUCGGAAACAUGCAGAUUACAGUAUUUACAGAGCCGACCUUGAGGCACCCACUGAUGGAUAAUCUGUUUACCUAAAAACAGCCCACCACAAUCCAUGUUUACCAGCUGUGAAAGUGCAGGCCAAAAAUCUUCCUUCACCUGUGGGCCUCUACCCACAUGUAGAUAAGCAUUUCAGGAGAAACCUGCCUGUGAUCUGCUAAGAUGCACAGAUUCAACUUUGGCCCAUUGUCAUCCCAACACCUCAUCUGCCAUCAGUUUCGUUUAGUGUCGGUCUAUUGCAAAAGUUCUUAUAAACUUUAAAUGAGACUUUGUGUUAAGCAGGGGUUUCCAAACUUUUCAUUCCACAACAUAUUAAGCCCAGGAUACACAGCAGGAUUUUUGCAAUCCAAUAAGACCUUAUCACACUGUGUGACAAGGAUUGUUUAAACUUCAGCAGUAGACUGUCGAUGAAGACACCUAUUGCAUCUGAAGCUGCGACAUCUGUCAUCAACAUGCGCUAGUGGUACACAAAUACAGGUAUUCAGGUCGUAGAAGCAAACACAUUGUUGAUGUGCGUUGAUCAUGCUGAACUUCUUACACUGUCAUAAAACUAUCGUAGGUGUCUUUGGUCCCAGGACUGGGAAAACAGACGUCUUUAAACCUCUCACACUGUAUGAGAUAGGACCACCAAUUAAGAGCCACGAUCACAGAAAUCUCCACAAUUGUUUCACGAUUGGUAAUCUUUCAUCUGGGACAGCCAAAAAUCGUGCCAUGUAUUAUGGGCUUUAGACAGGUGUAAUCUUAUAGUAUAUCAAAACCAUUGCUAAUAAUUAAUUGGACAAACCAUUACUACAAUGCAACACUCACUAUCUUACGGUGCGACCCACAAGCGGUUCUUCACCCACAGUUUAAAAACCCUGAGUAUGAGAAAGAGUAUGUUGUAUUGUAAUUAAAGUCACAUCUAAGUGUUAUGGAACAGUUUGUCAUUAUAUUCACAGUAUUACAUGGUUCUUUCAGCGGUUACUACGUUACAGUGCUCUUAAAGUGUCCUGAUCAGCUUUGGGUCUUGUGAAGUAAUGUAAUGAGAACGUGAUCAAUAGCUUUGCAGUAUUUUGUUACACUGUGGCUGUAAUCAUAUUAACACAUAGGUUAAACAUUUUAUUCAAAUUUGGUAAACAAACUAGUCAAUAUAAUUCAUGCUGUGAUGCUGGAUUAAACCUGGUCAAAUGAU